rnacentral:rRNA from 1 species
GAUUAAAUAAAUUGGUCUAUCCUUCAUUGGAUAUGAACUAAAUAUUAUUUAAUCAUCUUUGAAAAGAAUAUAUCUGGUAUUAAUUUAUUGGGUAUAGGAUUUUCAUCAUUUACUGUGAGCAAAUUAGAGUGUUCAAAGCAGGCUUAUGCCAUUGAAUAUUUUAGCAUGGAAUAAUAAGAUAAGACCUUGGUCUAUUUUGUUGGUUUGUGUUCCAAGGUA